AAUCAAAGAAAGAAAGAAAGAAAGAAAAUCCAUUUAUUUCGAACACACGAAUGACGCAAGAAACAAAUAAAUAAAUAUGGCACAAAACAAACAAUACAGUGAACAUAAAAAGGAAAAAAACGCUGCAAUUGCGUCACUCGUGCGUGAAAGGGACAGCGCUCAGCAUAAAUGCUGUAUCUCGCGCACGCAGGCACGAGACAACAGCGCUGGUUUUCAGCGCUGACCCACCACGCGUCCUAGCCGGAACUACAAAACUUUAACGCUGUUUCGGCAUAAAUACACUAAAUAAAUAAAUACAUAAAUAUAUAAGUAAUGUAAAUUUAAACAGUUACAAGAACGAUGUAAACUAAACAGAAGAACACAAACUAAAAACAAAAUAUAACACAAUAUGAGAAUAUCAGACAUAGGACAUAGACAAAAAAAGAGCGAAAAAUUAAAAUAGUCGACCAAUGAGCGUCUCGAACCAUAGACAGCGCGGUAAGUGUCAUGUGUCAAAGAUCAGGUUAACCCGGCCAAUUACAUGUGAGAUAUGUUAUUAUGCAAUAUUAUGUGUAUCAAGUGAUGUAAAUAGUGUAAUAUGUGUUAUUGUGUUGUAUAAUUGUGAGUGGAUAUGAAUAUACUAUUAGUGUGGUGUGGGACGACCAAAUUAUAGGAAUCCGGUAGCAUAGAGGAUGACCAUGCGGAGCAGUGUGUGUAAAGCGUUUCAAGGACAAUCCGAGGUCCAGAAAUGACAAUGCUUCGUAUGUAUAUGAAGUGAAGCAGACAGGAGGCAGCAAAACCGCACCACUACAUUGCCGGGGAUCCCAGCAAGGGCUUUGGGCCAAAGCUCUGAGGCCCCUUAAAGGUGGUGGGAGGUCGUUUCAGCAGUGUGUGGCUGCAAAUUUGAAGCUGCCCCUGAAAGCUGCAGUUUUGUGAGAAGGAACCUUCAGCGGAGCAACUAUGGAGCGAAGACCAUGUCCGUAACAUGUUUCCUUCCAUAUGAGUUUUUCAUAUAGAUAGUGUGGCUUGUGGGUUGAAGUGAUACCAAACAUUAGGCUAGCAAGAUGUAGUUUACGCCUGGCAGCCAUUUUUAGCAUUUUAAUUUCGUUGGUGUAUGGUGUAACAUGGUGUCUGCGAGGGACUUUAAUGCAGAAUCUGACACAGGCAUUCUGAACCCGCUGUAUCAACCUAUCUGUCCUAGCAAGCAGGCAAGGCCCGUAUACAGUAUCACAGUAAUUUAGCUUAGAUAGGACUAGAGUGUCAACAAGUUGUUUCCUAAGAGGUAGGCUAAGAAAAUUACGGAUACCAUAUAGUACCUUCAGUCUGUAGAAACAGUUUCUAACUGUAUUAUUUAUGUGAGCCUCGAAGUGCAGCUCCGGAUCCAAGAUUAGGCCCAGACUACACGCUUGUUCUACGCGUUCAAUUUUUUCCCCAUUAAUGACUAUCUCAGGCUUGGCAGUUAAUAUAUUGGUGACCUGUUUUUUUGUUCCUAGCACCAUAAACUUGGACUUAAGGGGGUUAAGCAGCAAACAAUUCCCCUCCGACCAAGUCACUAUCCGCUGCAGAUCCUCAUUUAUCCUUUGAACUGCAGCUACCACAUUAUCCCUCUUGCAGGAUGUAUACAGCUGAAUAUCAUCUGCAUACAUGUGAUAUCUGCAGCUCAUAAGGGAUUUGGCUACAUCAGCGCUAUAGAGGAUGUACAAUAAUGGGCCCAAUAUCGAACCCUGUGGAACUCCCCUAGUCACCGGGAGUGGAAGGGAUGAGAUGGUAGUACCGUCCUCUUUGUUGAUUUGCACGAGCUGGGACCUGUCCGUGAGAUAGCUACUAAACCAAUCCACCGCAGCACCGUCAAAACCAUAAUAAGUUAACUUGGACAGCAGUAGACUGGUAUUAAUAGCGUCAAAAGCACGUGAAAAGUCCAGCAAGACAAGGAUUGACCCCUCCCCCCGGUCGCGUGCCUCCAGAAUAUUACCCACUACAUCCAUCAACGCAGUUGCAGUCCCUCUACCCUUGCGGAAUCCUGACUGUAACUCGGGUAAUAUGUUGUUUGCCUCCAGGUAUUCUAUUACCUGGAGGUAUACCACACGCUCUAGAAUUUUAGAGAGGCAAGGCAGGAUGCUUAUAGGUCUAAGGUCUUUCAUAUUUACAGGGUCACUUAUUUUGGGAAUAGGGCAAACAAUAGCACGUCUCCAAAGGCUGGGGAAUGUAUGAGUUUCUAAGGACUUGUUGAUGAUAUCAGUGAUGACUUGCAGGGUGUUUGGCAGUGUGAGUGUCAACAUGUCCAGACUGAUACCAUCAACUCCCAGAGCUCUUGACCCCAGUCUCUUGAUUAUCCCCAAAACAGUCUCCGGAUUGGUACCAGAAAGGGAGAACCUGGCUGGACUAUACCUACGCGAGUUAAAGUAGUUGUUCAAUGAGAUAUUGUCGCUACAAUUCCCUGGUACAGUCAAGAAUGCCGCAUUUAUACUAUCCGGAUUAUCAAAAUGACUUGGCAGCCGCUUAUCUUUAUGGUCAGGAAGAACAUCUGAUUUUAAAUUCUGCCAUAAUAGUUUGGGAUCUUUACUUAGCUCAUUGAUGUUUUUUGUAAAAUAUGCGGUCUUUUCCCUCACUAAAGCGGCUGCUGACUCAUGCUUUAGAUCCAGAUAGUACUGCCUGUGGUUUGGGAGCUUUGUUUCGCGACUUCUCUGUCUAGCUUCAUCUCGAAGCUUGAACAUUAGACGAAUC
rnacentral:lncRNA from 1 species